rnacentral:rRNA from 1 species
UUCCCGGUUGAUCCUGCCGGAGGUCACUGCUAUUGGGAUUCGACUAAGCCAUGCGAGUCGAGAGGGUUCGGCCCUCGGCAGACUGCUCAGUAACACGUGGAUAAUCUGCCCUUAGGUGGAGGAUAACCUUGAGAAACUGAGAAUAAUACUCCAUAGAUCUAAGAUGCUGGAAUGCACUUAGAUUAAAAGCUCCGGCGCCUGAGGAUGAGUCUGCGGACUAUCAGGUUGUAGUCAGGGUAAGGACCUGACUAGCCUACAACGGAUACGGGUUGUGAGAGCAAUAACCCGGAGACGAUAUCUGAGACACGAUAUCGGGCCCUACGGGGCGCAGCAGGCGCGAAACCUUCACAAUGUGCGAAAGCGCGAUGAGGGGAUCCCAAGUGCUUGCACUUAAGUGUAAGCUGUUUCUUUGUUUAAAACGCAGAGAGAGGAAGGGCUGGGUAAGACGGGUGCCAGCCGCCGCGGUAAUACCUGCAGCUCAAGUGGUGACCGCUAUUAUUGGGCCUAAAACGUUCGUAGCCGGCUGAGUAAAUGCUUGGGUAAAUCGUGCCGCUUAACGGUACGAAUUCCGGGUAGACUGCUCAGCUUGAGACCGGGAGAAGCUAGAGGUACUCCUGGGGUAGAGGUGAAAUUCUGUAAUCCUGGGGGGACCACCAGUGGCGAAGGCGUCUAGCUAGAACGGGUCUGACGGUGAGGGACGAAACCCUGGGGCGCAAACCGGAUUAGAUACCCGGGUAGUCCAGGGCGCAAACGCUGCUUGCUUGAUGUUAGCUGGGCUCCGGGCUCAGCUAGUGUCGGAGAGAAGUUGUUAAGCAAGCUGCCUGGGAAGUACGAUCGCAAGAUUGAAACUUAAAGGAAUUGGCGGGGGAGCACAGCAACGGGUGGAGCGUGCGGUUUACUUCAUCAACGCCGGA